rnacentral:rRNA from 1 species
CUGAGAGGGUGACCGGCCACAUUGGGACUGAGACACGGCCCAAACUCCUACGGGAGGCAGCAGUGGGGAAUAUUGCACAAUGGGGGAAACCCUGAUGCAGCGACGCCGCGUGAAGGAUGAAGUAUUUCGGUAUGUAAACUUCUAUCAGCAGGGAAGAAAAUGACGGUACCUGACUAAGAAGCCCCGGCUAACUACGUGCCAGCAGCCGCGGUAAUACGUAGGGGGCAAGCGUUAUCC